GAUUAUUUUAACCUUAGAGUUCACUCUUUGGAUUGAUAUGUCUGGCUACCUGAGGAUUUCAGAAGUUCAAUUUCAGAAGUUGAUUUUCAGUGUAUGAACAUGAUAAGGCAACACUGGGACAAACUGAAGGUCUUUCCAUCCCAGGGUCCCAUUUCCAAAAGCAGCUAAAAGACACAGGAAUUUUAGCAAUGACACACACAGAGAAGCCCAGUAAAGUAAGAGGUGCUUUAUAAUGAGAACACUCUCAUUGGCCUUCAGAUUGCAAGAAAUGGUGAUGUAUAAAGACAUGAGACAAGGCUUCCAACCAUCACUAGAGUACCUCAUUUGUGAGAAAUGGCAAGAGGUCAGAAGAGGGAGUCAACUUGCUAGGACCAGUUCUCAUAUUCAUUUAAAUAAAGCAGAUGAUCC
rnacentral:lncRNA from 1 species